AUGGGGGGCGCCUCAGCUGCACCUACACCGUCCCCCACCCCGAUGGCUCCCGGCGGCCCCUCCGCUCCCAGGAGAGCCCUGGCGUCUUCAUCAGCAUCAGAGGUACGACCAACAUGUAUGGGGCUGGAACCAUAUCUAUGCAGCAGAGACCGCCCGCCUGCUCCCACCCUGACCUUGACCCCUGGGGGAGGGGUCACCAUUGAAGGUCAGACCAUCCUCUUCCUUUGCGCGGCCCCGGCUGAAGUCCUCCCCCGCUGCUUCCGAUUCUUCAAGGAGAAGGAGGAGGUCAAGGAUGAGGUCAACGAAGUCAAUGAGGUCAAGGUCAUAAGGGGGGUGGCCACUGCCCGCCUCCCUCUGGUGGCCACUGGCCACAACAUCACCGGCAAUUUCAGCUGUGGCUAUGAGGAGGAGGUAGAGGGUCGCCGGAUCCUGUCCCACCUCAGCCCCCACCUUCAGGUGGUGGUCAAAGAGCCUCCUCUGCCGCCCACGUUGGGGGUGGACCCCCCCAGUGGGGUGGUGGGUGAAGGUCACCCCCUGCGUGUCACCUGCAAAGCCACCAGAGAGGACUUUCCCCUGAGGUUCCACUUCUCCAGGAACGGGACAGAGCUUCAGGGGUGGAAACCACAAAAUCUGGGGAUUUUGGCACAAAUUUUCAUCCCCCAAACUCCCACAAGCCUUGAGGGAACUUGGAGGUGUCACGUGGAAGAGGACAUGGGGGGGAUGUGGGUGACAUCACCCCCCAGUGAACCCCUGGAGGUCACCAUCAAAGCCCCUCCUUCCCAGCCCGCCUUGCUCCUGGACCCACCCACCGCAGAGGUCCCACCUGAUGCCCCCCUGCUGCUCACCUGCGUGGCCCAAGGUCCCACCACCCUCCGCAACUUUUCCUUCUACCAAGAUGGCGCCCAGCUCUUCUCGGUGGCCACCAGCAGGGACCGGGCCACCUUCACCCUCCCCAUGGUAGCCAAUGCUACCCCGGCCACUGGCUUCAUCUUCUCCUGCCGCUACCACGAGAAGAUCAAUGAUUGGUGGAUCUCCUCCCCCUUCAGCCAACCUGUGACGGUCACCACCCAAGUUCCCUCCCAGUUCAUCCCAUUGGUGGUCAGUUGUGUCACCGGCAGUGCCACCGUAUUCGUUGUGGGGCUUCUAUUGGCCAUUUGGCUUUGCCGGAGGCGGAGAGGCCGUGUCCACUGGAGGGGCCUCCGCAACCGGGAUGACCCCAGCACCAUUCCCAUGGCCAACGUUGGCCCCUGUUGACCCCCCUGAAGGUGACCCCCAACCUCUGCCGUGACAGUUGGGGGCAGAGAACACCCUGUCCCCUCGGCUUCGUAGCUCCCCCCCUCAGUGCACCCCCAUGUAAGGUCCCAGUUCUCAUGUCCAGUUUCUCACCCUGCUCAAUAAACAUCUCAAACCCUCUUCCCGCCUCUUCGUC
rnacentral:lncRNA from 1 species